rnacentral:rRNA from 1 species
GAGGCGCCAGCGGUUAAUCUUGAAUUACUGGGCUCAAAGGGUGCUAGGCGGCUUUGUUAAGUCGUGCUUGUGAGCCCCCGGCGUCAACCUGGCAAUGGCAAGUGAUACUGGCAAGGCUAGAGUGGGUAGAGGAAGGUGGAAUUCCCGGUGUAUCCGGUGAAAUGCUUAGAGAUCGGAGGAACAUCAGAUGGCGAAGGCGGCCUUCUGGACCAACACUGACGUCUCAGGCACGAAAGCGUGGGGAGCAAACAAGGAUUAGAUACCCUGGUAGUCCACGCCCUAAACGAUGCGAACUGGACGUUGGCCACACUUCGGUGGUCAGUGUCGAAGCUAACGCGUUAAUUCCCGCCUGGGGAGUACGGUCGCAAGACUGAAACUCAAAGGAAUUGACGGGGGCCCGCACAAGCGGUGGAGUAUGUGGUUUAAUUCGAUGCAACGCGAAGAACCUUACCUGGUCUUGACAUGUCGCAAACUUGGCAGAAAUGCCUGUGGUGCCUUCGGGAAUGCGAACACAGGUGCUGCAUGGCUGUCGUCAGCUCGUGUCGUGAGAUGUUGGGUUAAGUCCCGCAACGAGCGCAACCCUUGUCCUUAGUUGCCACCACGUCAAGGUGGGAACUCUAGGGAGACUGCCGGCGACAAACCUGGAGGAAGGUGGGGAUGACGCUCAAGUCAUCAUGGCCCUUACGACCAGGGCUACACACGUACUACAAUGGUCGGUACAAAGGGUUGUCAAACCGGGAGUCGAAGCCAAUCCCACAAAGCCGAUCCCAGUCCGGAUCGCAGUCUGCAACUCGACUGCGGGAAGUCGGAAUCGCUAGUAAUCGCGGAUCAGCUAUGCCUCGGUGAAUACGUUCCCGGGCCUUGUACACACCGCCCGUCAGCACCAUGGAAGUGGGCUGCUCCAGAAGCCGUUAGUCCUAAGCCUUCGCAAGGACGAAGAGCCAGCGGAUAUGGUUCAUGACUGGGGUG